GCUGGCAGAUCGACGAAUCCGGUGGUGUGACCACAAUGGAACACCGUCCGCCGCCGCCAUAUGGAGCCGGAUAAUUGCUGUUGUAAAAUUUGUUAUUGAUUACUUGAUGGAGGAACUUGAACGUUUCCGAAAGUACUUACAAAUGCAGCAAAUGGCCUGCGCUGUGAUGGAGGAGCAGCUGCCCGCCGCCACGCCGCUGUUGUCGCUGCACUCUCCGUUGAUUACGCAGGUGCCCAGGAGCAGGUUGUUGCCCACACAGAUGUCGUUGGAAAAGCGACCGAUUGUAUAGAAGGGAAACCCUGGAAACGAAAGAAAUGGUCAUUGAAUUAUCUGGAUAAUCCGAGGGAAUUAUGAUCGGAGGGAUGGGAAACAGAAGGGAUAGUAACUUUAUGAUUCUA